GAUGAACGCUAGCGGCAGGCUUAACACAUGCAAGUCGAGGGGUAUGCUUCUUCGGAAGCAGAGACCGGCGCACGGGUGCGUAACGCGUAUGCAAUCUACCUUUUACAGAGGGAUAGCCCAGAGAAAAUUUGGAUUAAUACCUCAUAGUAUUAUAGAAUGGCAUCAUUUUAUAAUUAAAGUCACAACGGUAAAGAUGAGCAUGCGUCCCAUUAGCUAGUUGGAAGGUAACGGCUUACCAAGGCUACGAUGGGUAGGGGUCC
rnacentral:rRNA from 1 species